rnacentral:rRNA from 3 species
CAAAAUGCGAUACUUGGUGUGAAUUGCAGAAUCCCGUGAACCAUCGAGUUUUUGAACGCAAGUUGCGCCCGAAGCCAUUCGGUUGAGGGCACGUCUGCCUGGGCGUCACGC